GGGAAUCUUGGACAAUGGGCGCAAGCCUGAUCCAGCCAUGCCGCGUGAGUGAUGAAGGCCCUAGGGCUGUAAAGUCCUUUAACGGGGAAGAUAAUGACGGUACCCGUAGAAUAAGCCCCGGCUAACUUCGUGCCAGCAGCCGCGGUAAUACGAAGGGGCUAGCGUUGCUCGGAAUUACUGGGCGUAAAGCGCACGUAGGCGGGUUGUUAAGUCGGGGUGAAAUCCUGGAGCUCAACUCCAGAACUGCCUUCGAAACUGACGAUCUUGAGUUCGGGAGAGGUGAGUGGAACUGCGAGUGUAGAGGUGAAAUUCGUAGAUAUUCGCAAGAACACCAGUGGCGAAGGCGGCUCACUGGCCCGAUACUGACGCUGAGGUGCGAAAGCGUGGGAGCAAACAG
rnacentral:rRNA from 1 species